UGGGGAAUAUUGCACAAUGGGCGAAAGCCUGAUGCAGCAACGCCGCGUGAGUGAUGAAGGCCUUCGGGUUGUAAAGCUCUGUCUUUUGGGACGAUAAUGACGGUACCAAAGGAGGAAGCCACGGCUAACUACGUGCCAGCAGCCGCGGUAAUACGUAGGUGGCAAGCGUUGUCCGGAUUUACUGGGCGUAAAGGAUGCGUAGGCGGAUUUUUAAGUGAGAUGUGAAAACCCUAAGCUUAACUUGGGGACUGCAUUUCAUACUGGAAAUCUAGAGUGCGGGAGAGGAGAAUGGAAUUCCUAGUGUAGCGGUGAAAUGCGUAGAGAUUAGGAAGAACACCAGUGGCGAAGGCGAUUCCCUGGACCGUAACUGACGCUGAGGCAUGAAAGCGUGGGUAGCAAACAGGAUUAGAUACCCUGGUAGUCCACGCCGUAAACGAUGAGUACUAGGUGUAGGAGGUAUCGACCCCUUCUGUGCCGCAGUUAACACAAUAAGUACUCCGCCUGGGAAGUACGAUCGCAAGAUUAAAACUCAAAUGAAUUGACGGGGUCAUAGCUGUUUCCU
rnacentral:rRNA from 1 species